AAAUUGAAGAGUUUGAUCAUGGCUCAGAUUGAACGCUGGCGGCAGGCCUAACACAUGCAAGUCGAGCGGUAGCACAGAGAGCUUGCUCUCGGGUGACGAGCGGCGGACGGGUGAGUAAUGUCUGGGAAACUGCCUGAUGGAGGGGGAUAACUACUGGAAACGGUAGCUAAUACCGCAUAAUGUCGCAAGACCAAAGUGGGGGACCUUCGGGCCUCAUGCCAUCAGAUGUGCCCAGAUGGGAUUAGCUAGUAGGUGGGGUAACGGCUCACCUAGGCGACGAUCCCUAGCUGGUCUGAGAGGAUGACCAGCCACACUGGAACUGAGACACGGUCCAGACUCCUACGGGAGGCAGCAGUGGGGAAUAUUGCACAAUGGGCGCAAGCCUGAUGCAGCCAUGCCGCGUGUGUGAAGAAGGCCUUCGGGUUGUAAAGCACUUUCAGCGGGGAGGAAGGCGUUAAGGUUAAUAACCUUGGCGAUUGACGUUACCCGCAGAAGAAGCACCGGCUAACUCCGUGCCAGCAGCCGCGGUAAUACGGAGGGUGCAAGCGUUAAUCGGAAUUACUGGGCGUAAAGCGCACGCAGGCGGUCUGUCAAGUCGGAUGUGAAAUCCCCGGGCUCAACCUGGGAACUGCAUUCGAAACUGGCAGGCUAGAGUCUUGUAGAGGGGGGGUAGAAUUCCAGGUGUAGCGGUGAAAUGCGUAGAGAUCUGGAGGAAUACCGGUGGCGAAGGCGGCCCCCUGGACAAAGACUGACGCUCAGGUGCGAAAGCGUGGGGAGCAAACAGGAUUAGAUACCCUGGUAGUCCACGCCGUAAACGAUGUCGAUUUGGAGGUUGUGCCCUUGAGGCGUGGCUUCCGGAGCUAACGCGUUAAAUCGACCGCCUGGGGAGUACGGCCGCAAGGUUAAAACUCAAAUGAAUUGACGGGGGCCCGCACAAGCGGUGGAGCAUGUGGUUUAAUUCGAUGCAACGCGAAGAACCUUACCUGGUCUUGACAUCCACAGAACUUUCCAGAGAUGGAUUGGUGCCUUCGGGAACUGUGAGACAGGUGCUGCAUGGCUGUCGUCAGCUCGUGUUGUGAAAUGUUGGGUUAAGUCCCGCAACGAGCGCAACCCUUAUCCUUUGUUGCCAGCGGUUCGGCCGGGAACUCAAAGGAGACUGCCAGUGAUAAACUGGAGGAAGGUGGGGAUGACGUCAAGUCAUCAUGGCCCUUACGACCAGGGCUACACACGUGCUACAAUGGCAUAUACAAAGAGAAGCGACCUCGCGAGAGCAAGCGGACCUCAUAAAGUAUGUCGUAGUCCGGAUUGGAGUCUGCAACUCGACUCCAUGAAGUCGGAAUCGCUAGUAAUCGUAGAUCAGAAUGCUACGGUGAAUACGUUCCCGGGCCUUGUACACACCGCCCGUCACACCAUGGGAGUGGGUUGCAAAAGAAGUAGGUAGCUUAACCUUCGGGAGGGCGCUUACCACUUUGUGAUUCAUGACUGGGGUGAAGUCGUAACAAGGUAACCGUAGGGGAACCUGCGGUUGGAUCACCUCCUUA
rnacentral:rRNA from 1 species